AGAGCAGAUAGCUUACGGUGCUCUUCACUGCAUGAAUUUCACAGUAAUCCCACAGUUGAUUGAAAGCAAAAGCAGAAACAAAAACACUAACCCCAUGCACCAAUCAUCUCUGUUAGAUGGCCAACAUGGAUUUGUUUACGUGGAUGUGUGUAUGUGUGUGUAUACAGGUACUCUUUUGCAAUGGCGGUUAAUAAAGAGCUCAUAAAAUACACAAGCAUGUAACAGUUGCCACUUUGUUACAAACAUAAGUGGUUAUUUGUGCUUCCAUUAAAUUAUUAAACUUUUUUAAGAGCGUGGUAACUUUGAACAGCCCUUGCAAAGCAAGUAGAUGUUUUAAAUCGAGCUAACGAGUUCAUGUCUGAAUCCAGUCUCCCGAACAAGAAUGGGCUCGAACAUUUCCAGAGGGUCUUUUAAUGAUAAAUAGAGCCUUGGGCAUAUCCAAAAGGCUUAAAAAAUGGUAUACAUUUUGACCUACCGGAGCAUUUGUUUUUGCAGCUAUGCACAGUAAAGGUGGCCUAAAUGAUCAUCCAUCUUCUAAAGAGUUCAAAUACUCGUAUAGGCUUCGAAAAUACAUUCAAGG